UGUUGUGCCUGUAAUUCAAAGGGUCAGCCUUGUCACACUGUGUCACGCUGAAUAUCCCCGAGAACUACGUUAAGGGUACACGUGUCUGUGGAGUGCUCAGCCACUUGCACGUUAAUUUCACGAGCAGGCUGUUCCGUUGAUCGGAUCAACUGGAACCCACGACGUCGUAAGCGACGGAGUGCCAACAGUGUAUGUAUGUAUGUAUGUAUUCAGCUCUCUCGAGCAACAGAGGUGAAUGUACUACAUGCCUAGAAAUGAAACUUCUCAACAGCACAAUGGUUUUUAGACGUUAAUAAUUUCCAGUCAAAAAUGAAAAAAAAAAACAUAUCCAUAAACUUGUCAAUUAAAGAUAUUCAACACCAUAACAAAGGUGUAUGAAAUCAUGAAUAAAAGAAAUACCUGUGUAACUUGUAUAAAAAAAACUAUCGGACGCCCUAUGUAGAAAGAAAGCCGAAAGUGAAUAUAUUUGCAUAAAAAAUGCAAACAGAUUGGGUCAAGUAUGUAGAACGAAGGUUAGAUUGAUGGAAAUGCGACUGAGCAGUGGAGAUAAUAAAGACAUUUAACAAGAAUAACAGGUCUAAUUACUCUAUUAUUUUUUUUUUUUCGUUGACAUAUUUUAAGUUACAGAACUUCUUUAUCAGUCCACAGUCAUGUUUGCAGCACAUAUUCAGUUUUUGUGUGAAGCUCUGUUUGAACUACCCACUUCUAUACAAAGCUGAUAACUAUUAUAGACGCACCUACGUUGAUUGCUAAACUUAUGAUUACUUUUAUUAUACAUUUUAAGUGGAGUGUUUCUUCGCCAUAGAGCUUUGCUGUUGUUGAAACGUGUCAAUAUCCAUGAUGUAUUUGGCUAUUGGAUUGUUGAUUCUCUUCGUGGCCCAGACACACAGCCAAACUGAACCAAUGGGCUUAAAAUCAUAUUUAGGAUCUGAUGUAGUAAUGACAUGUGUUAAUGCAACUAUGAAUGGAAUGCCCAAGUGGAUUCUUCCACAUGGUAAAAUGGUGGAUGAAGAAAAAUAUGAGAUAUACAAUAAGUCAUUAAAAAUUAAAAGUGUUACUGAAGAAGACAGAGGAAUCUAUGCUUGCACUUCUAGAGAUGAUGCAGUAUAUAACAUAUACCUACUAAAUAUGGCUGGCCCUCUAUUUGACAGCACUUCUGAUAAAUACCAUACCCAGUUUCUUAUUGGUGGUAUAGCAAGUGUAGUUAUGUUAGGUAUAUGUACUAUUGUAUUGCUUACUUAUCAUUUUCACUAUGAAACCCGGGAGCGUAAACAUGGAGAAGCUGAAGGUAACAUUAAUAAUGGCUUUACAGAAUUAGACAGCACGCAACUUUGAUUUCUUUUCUAUAAACUUUUCAAUAAAAGUAAACUCAAACAAAUUCAAAGCUAUGAUAAGUGAUUGGUUUUAUCUAACAGUAAUUCACUAUUAGGUCUCAAAAGACUUUAAAUAUUUUUAAUUGAAAAUUGUGUCUGAAAAUAUCAUGAAAACUUUUUUAAGAUUUAUUAAUACUGUAAAAAUCUUUCAACAACAUCUAAAAUGUUUAAAUGAAAUGUAAUUAAUCAUAGUUAAAAAGAAAAAAGUUAAUGUACAGACUGGAAUGAAAAAUAUAACCUGUAUCAAUUUUUGUGUACUAUGAAAGAACUGUAAACAUUUUUCAAAAUUGUUGAUUUGUGAUUUUUAAACAUUAAAUUAAUGGAUACCUUAAAUCAUAAUCAUAACAACCAUUAACCAGUAUGAAAUUUGUUCUCCAAUGUGAAGGAAAUACCAACAUAAAUGCAAUUAAGCAUUUUAGUUUUGAAUAUAUUUUAAUUUAAUAUUAGCUACUAACUGAAUAAAUAUCAUAUCUUCAAUACUCACAAAAUUUGCGCUAUAUUUUUAUAUGAUGUAACCUGUUUGACAUUUUCAUAUUUCACAUUUCAUUUUGUUAUAAUGUAUAAGAUCAUAGCUAAAUAAUAAAACUACCAAGUUUCA